GAUGAACGCUGGCGGCGUGCCUAAUACAUGCCAGUCGAGCGAACAGACGAGGAGCUUGCUCCUCUGACGUUAGCGGCGGACGGGUGAGUAACACGUGGAUAACCUACCUAUAAGACUUGGAUAACUUCGGGAAACCGGAGCUAAUACCGGAUAAUAUAUUGAACCGCAUGGUUCAAUAGUGAAAGACGGUUUUGCUGUCACUUAUAGAUGGAUCCGCGCCGCAUUAGCUAGUUGGUAAGGUAACGGCUUACCAAGGCAACGAUGCGUAGCCGACCUGAGAGGGUGAUCGGCCACACUGGAACUGAGACACGGUCCAGACUCCUACGGGAGGCAGCAGUAGGGAAUCUUCCGCAAUGGGCGAAAGCCUGACGGAGCAACGCCGCGUGAGUGAUGAAGGUCUUCGGAUCGUAAAACUCUGUUAUUAGGGAAGAACAAAUGUGUAAGUAACUAUGCACGUCUUGACGGUACCUAAUCAGAAAGCCACGGCUAACUACGUG
rnacentral:rRNA from 1 species